rnacentral:rRNA from 1 species
UAAGUAAGCUUUGAUCCAGAGAUUUCCGAAUGGGGAAACCCAGCAUGAGUUAUGUCAUGUUAUCGAUAUGUGAAUACAUAGCAUAUCAGAAGGCACACCCGGAGAACUGAAACAUCUUAGUACCCGGAGGAAGAGAAAGAAAAUUCGAUUCCCUUAGUAGCGGCGAGCGAAACGGGAAGAGCCCAAACCAACAAGCUUGCUUGUUGGGGUUGUAGGACACUCUAUACGGAGUUACAAAGGACGACAUUAGACGAAUCAUCUGGAAAGAUGAAUCAAAGAAGGUAAUAAUCCUGUAGUCGAAAAUGUUGUCUCUCUUGAGUGGAUCCUGAGUACGACGGAGCACGUGAAAUUCCGUCGGAAUCUGGGAGGACCAUCUCCUAAGGCUAAAUACUCUCUAGUGACCGAUAGUGAACCAGUACCGUGAGGGAAAGGUGAAAAGCACCCCGGAAGGGGAGUGAAAUAGAACCUGAAACCGUGUGCUUACAAGUAGUCAGAGCCCGUUAAUGGGUGAUGGCGUGCCUUUUGUAGAAUGAACCGGCGAGUUACGAUUUGAUGCAAGGUUAAGCAGUAAAUGUGGAGCCGUAGCGAAAGCGAGUCUGAAUAGGGCGUUUAGUAUUUGGUCGUAGACCCGAAACCAGGUGAUCUACCCUUGGUCAGGUUGAAGUUCAGGUAACACUGAAUGGAGGACCGAACCGACUUACGUUGAAAAGUGAGCGGAUGAACUGAGGGUAGCGGAGAAAUUCCAAUCGAACCUGGAGAUAGCUGGUUCUCUCCGAAAUAGCUUUAGGGCUAGCCUCAAGUGAUGAUUAUUGGAGGUAGAGCACUGUUUGGACGAGGGGCCCCUCUCGGGUUACCGAAUUCAGACAAACUCCGAAUGCCAAUUAAUUUAACUUGGGAGUCAGAACAUGGGUGAUAAGGUCCAUGUUCGAAAGGGAAACAGCCCAGACCACCAGCUAAGGUCCCAAAAUAUAUGUUAAGUGGAAAAGGAUGUGGCGUUGCCCAGACAACUAGGAUGUUGGCUUAGAAGCAGCCAUCAUUUAAAGAGUGCGUAAUAGCUCACUAGUCGAGUGACACUGCGCCGAAAAUGUACCGGGGCUAAACAUAUUACCGAAGCUGUGGAUUGUCCUUUGGACAAUGGUAGGAGAGCGUUCUAAGGGCGUUGAAGCAUGAUCGUAAGGACAUGUGGAGCGCUUAGAAGUGAGAAUGCCGGUGUGAGUAGCGAAAGAUGGGUGAGAAUCCCGUCCACCGAUUGACUAAGGUUUCCAGAGGAAGGCUCGUCCGCUCUGGGUUAGUCGGGUCCUAAGCUGAGGCCGACAGGCGUAGGCGAUGGAUAACAGGUUGAUAUUCCUGUACCACCUAUAAUCGUUUUAAUCGAUGGGGGGACGCAGUAGGAUAGGCGAAGCGUGCGAUUGGAUUGCACGUCUAAGCAGUAAGGCUGAGUAUUAGGCAAAUCCGGUACUCGUUAAGGCUGAGCUGUGAUGGGGAGAAGACAUUGUGUCUUCGAGUCGUUGAUUUCACACUGCCGAGAAAAGCCUCUAGAUAGAAAAUAGGUGCCCGUACCGCAAACCGACACAGGUAGUCAAGAUGAGAAUUCUAAGGUGAGCGAGCGAACUCUCGUUAAGGAACUCGGCAAAAUGACCCCGUAACUUCGGGAGAAGGGGUGCUCUUUAGGGUUAACGCCCAGAAGAGCCGCAGUGAAUAGGCCCAAGCGACUGUUUAUCAAAAACACAGGUCUCUGCUAAACCGUAAGGUGAUGUAUAGGGGCUGACGCCUGCCCGGUGCUGGAAGGUUAAGAGGAGUGGUUAGCUUCUGCGAAGCUACGAAUCGAAGCCCCAGUAAACGGCGGCCGUAACUAUAACGGUCCUAAGGUAGCGAAAUUCCUUGUCGGGUAAGUUCCGACCCGCACGAAAGGCGUAACGAUUUGGGCACUGUCUCAACGAGAGACUCGGUGAAAUCAUAGUACCUGUGAAGAUGCAGGUUACCCGCGACAGGACGGAAAGACCCCGUGGAGCUUUACUGUAGCCUGAUAUUGAAAUUCGGCACAGCUUGUACAGGAUAGGUAGGAGCC